GUCUACAGCUAUGCCACCCUGAACAAGCCCGAUCUCAUCUGAUCUCGGAAGCUAAGCAGGAUCGGGCCUGGUUAGUACUUGGAUGGGAGACCACCUAGGAAGACAGGUGCCAUAGGUG
rnacentral:rRNA from 1 species